rnacentral:rRNA from 1 species
CCUACGGGAGGCAGCAGUGGGGAAUCUUGGGCAAUGGGCGCAAGCCUGACCCAGCAACGCCGCGUGAAGGAAGAAGGCUUUCGGGUUGUACACUUCUUUUCUGAGGGACGAAGAAAGUGACGGUACCUCAUGAAUAAGCCACGGCUAACUACGUGCCAGCAGCCGCGGUAAUACGUAGGUGGCAAGCGUUAUCCGGAUUUAUUGGGUGUAAAGGGCGUGUAGGCGGGAAAGCAAGUCAGAUGUGAAAACUCAGGGCUCAACCCUGAGCCUGCAGUUGAAACUGUUUUUCGUGAGGGCUGGAGAGGCAAUCGGAAGUCCGUGGGUAGCGGUGAAAUGCGUAGAUAUACGGAGGAACACCAGUGGCGAAGGCGGAUUGCUGGACAGUAACUGACGCUGAGGCGCGAAAGCGUGGGGAGCAAACAGGAUUAGAUACCCCAGUAGUC